rnacentral:rRNA from 1 species
UACGGAGGGAGCUAGCGUUGUUCGGAAUUACUGGGCGUAAAGCGCGCGUAGGCGGCUUUGUAAGUUAGAGGUGAAAGCCCGGAGCUCAACUCCGGAACUGCCUUUAAGACUGCAUCGCUUGAAUCCGGGAGAGGUGAGUGGAAUUCCGAGUGUAGAGGUGAAAUUCGUAGAUAUUCGGAAGAACACCAGUGGCGAAGGCGGCUUCCUGGCCUGCAACUGACGCUGAGACGCGAAAGCGUGGGGAGCGAACCGG